GACGAACGCUGGCGGCGUGCUUAACACAUGCAAGUCGAACGGAAAGGCCCUGCUUUUGUGGGGUGCUCGAGUGGCGAACGGGUGAGUAACACGUGAGUAACCUGCCCUUGACUUUGGGAUAACUUCAGGAAACUGGGGCUAAUACCGGAUAGGAGCUCCUGCUGCAUGGUGGGGGUUGGAAAGUUUCGGCGGUUGGGGAUGGACUCGCGGCUUAUCAGCUUGUUGGUGGGGUAGUGGCUUACCAAGGCUUUGACGGGUAGCCGGCCUGAGAGGGUGACCGGCCACAUUGGGACUGGGAUACGGCCCAGACUCCUACGGGGGGGAGGAGUGGGGAAAUAUUGCACAAUGGGCGGAAGCCUGAUGCAGCAACGCCGCGUGCGGGAUGACGGCCUUCGGGUUGUAAACCGCUUUCGCCUGUGACGAAGCGUGAGUGACGGUAAUGGGUAAAGAAGCACCGGCUAACUACGUG
rnacentral:rRNA from 1 species